rnacentral:rRNA from 1 species
GAUGAACGCUGGCGGCGUGCCUAACACAUGCAAGUCGAGCGAUUUACUUCGGUAAAGAGCGGCGGACGGGUGAGUAACGCGUGGGUAACCUGCCCUGUACACACGGAUAACAUACCGAAAGGUAUGCUAAUACGGGAUAAUGUACUUUUGUCGCAUGGCAAAAGUAUCAAAGCUCCGGCGGUACAGGAUGGACCCGCGUCUGAUUAGCUAGUUGGAGAGGUAAUGGCUCACCAAGGCGACGAUCAGUAGCCGACCUGAGAGGGUGAUCGGCCACAUUGGAACUGAGACACGGUCCAAACUCCUACGGGAGGCAG